UACGUAGGGGGCAAGCGUUGUCCGGAUUUAUUGGGCGUAAAGAGCGUGUAGGCGGCCAUGCAGGUCAGCUGUGAAAACUCGAGGCUCAACCUCGAGACGUCGGUUGAAACCGUAUGGCUAGAGUCCGGAAGAGGAGAGUGGAAUUCCCGGUGUAGCGGUGAAAUGCGCAGAUAUCGGGAAGAACACCCGUGGCGAAGGCGGCUCUCUGGGACAGUACUGACGCUGAGACGCGAAAGCGUGGGGAGCGAACAGG
rnacentral:rRNA from 1 species